AUGAGUAAAAGAAAUAAGACAUUGAUUUUUUUUUUCAAGUUCGAACCACCGAAACCAACUAGACUCAUUCAUCCGGGAAGCAAGAGUGGAAAGAGCAUUCUCAAGACUGGAUUAAGGAACAAAAUGGGUGAUGAUUGGAUGAAUCAUAGAAUGGUGUGUUACAUUGAGCGAGAUGUAUUUGUUAGUAUUGAAGAAUCAAAGAUUAUCGAGCGAUUUCAAGGUUAUCGCACACGUAAAGGCGUUUUGCCUCGUCCUAGACGUUUAGCUUCUUCUGCUAUCGAAGAUGUAGUCAUGGAAGGCUCAGAUCAACCAAUCCUUUGA
rnacentral:rRNA from 1 species